UUUCGCAAUGCCCGAAAGGGUGACGAAGCGACGCCGCGUGCGGGAAGAAGGCCUUCGGGUUGUAAACCGCUGUCGGGAGUUAAGAAAUGUAAGGAUGUUAAUAGCAUCUUUGCUUGACUAAGGCUCCGGAGGAAGCCACGGCUAACUCUGUGCCAGCAGCCGCGGUAAUACAGAGGCGGCAAGCGUUGUUCGGAAUUAUUGGGCGUAAAGAGCACGUAGGCGGCUAUGUAAGUCGGUUGUGAAAGCCUUCCGCUCAACGGGAGAACAGCAUCCGAUACUGCAUGGCUUGAGUGCGGGAGGGGAGAGUGGAACUUCUGGUGGAGCGGUGAAAUGCGUAGAUAUCAGAAGGAACGCCGGCGGCGAAAGCGGCUCUCUGGCCCAUAACUGACGCUGAGUGUGCGAAAGCUAGGGGAGCAAACGGGAUUAGAUACCCCGGCAGUCCUAGCCGUAAACGAUGGGCACUAAGUAGAGGGGUUUUAAUCUC
rnacentral:rRNA from 1 species